AAAGGCUGCAACUAUCUGUUAUUGAUUUUAAAAUGCUGGUUUUUCAUCCAAUCCCUUAGGUUGUUUUAUACAAUAUUAAAUGCAAACUAGAAAAUUUCUGAAGAAAUUUAAACGGGGCCUGCCAAAGUGUGCCUGUUGCUUGGAACCCAGCGUUUUGAUGCUAAAAAUUAGCAUUAAUGACACAGCAGAAGAAGUCAGACGGGAGAGACUUCAGAGAGGAGCUGACAUCAGGCGAGAGACGCAGGCAACAUGUUCGGAGAAGAACUAGAGAAAAUAACAAUUGUUUACUUUUUUCCGAUGGGUUUUACCGUCGGAUACACAGUUACAACAGCGAUGAGAAGACUGUGGGACUUGUUAUUUUCUGGGGAACAAAAUUCAGCUCUAACCGUUUCCACCAGAUCAACGGGCGGAAAUUUCCCAACAAAACAGGUCAGGCAACAGGGUCUAUCAGAAAACGUAGAGACCCAUUUAAUUAUAAAGUAAAGAAGAAGAAGUGAAAACUUUAACACACCGGCACAAACAUGGGUGGACCAGGGAAAAUAAAACCGAUCUAAUAGAACUGGUCCAAGCUGAGGAAGACCUGGAUUCUCCACCGCCAUCUCACAGACCAUCUUGGGUUCGAUGUAACUAUAUUUUUGAUGUUACCUGCAAAGAAAUACGUCCUGCCUUCAUCGUCUGUGGUGGCUGCAUUCAGUUUGACGUCUCUGCAUUUAAGAGGUUUCCAGUCUUCUCCGUGACUUGCAGUCAAACACAAAAUAAAGAACAAAUAAAGACAUAAAAAAAAAAAUUGCAAUAAUGCUAAAAUAAGCUACAAUAUACUCGAUAGCUUGUGGACAGUCACAAGUAUGCUGAGCAACAUGGACAUCAGUAUAUCAGUAUAUUAAGAUUAGCUUAGCUUAGCUAAAAGCUAAGGUAAUUAGUGUAGGCUAAUGUUAGCCUAAAUGCUGCCAGUGGCAUGUGGGGUAUAAUUAGCAUGUUGUCUGACACUGACUUCCUCCAUUCAGUGUGCUAAACAUGGCUAAUAAAUAAACAAAAU